GAUGAACGCUGGCGGCGUGCCUAAUACAUGCAAGUCGAGCGAACAGACGAGGAGCUUGCUCCUCUGACGUUAGCGGCGGAAGGGUGAGUAACACGUGGAUAACCUACCUAUAAUACUGGGAUAACUUCGGGAAACCGGAGCUAAUACCGGAUAAUAUAUUGAACCGCAUGGUUCAAUAGUGAAAGACGGUUUUGCUGUCACUUAUAGAUGGAUCCGCGCCGCAUUAGCUAGUUGGUAAGGUAACGGCUUACCAAGGCAACGAUGCGUAGCCGACCUGAGAGGGUGAUCGGCCACACUGGAACUGAGACACGGUCCAGACUCCUACGGGCGGCAGCAGUAGGGAAUCUUCCGCAAUGGGCGAAAGCAUGACGGAGCAACGCCGCGUGAGUGAUGAAGGUCUUCGGCUCGUAAAACUCUGUUAUUAGGGAAGAACAAAUGUGUAAGUAACUAUGCACGUCUUGACGGUACCUAAUCAGAAAGCCACGGCUAACUACGUG
rnacentral:rRNA from 1 species